rnacentral:rRNA from 1 species
AUGUUUGUGGCCCAAUUAGCUAGAAAGCAGGAAGUGAAUUCAGCAUUUCUCUAUGAUUUUGAGGUGAAUGAUGAGGGGAACCUGGUGCGUGUGUUCUGGGCAGAUGCCACAAGUAGGAAGAACUAUAGUCACUUUGGUGAUGUCAUAUCCUUCGAUUCUACAUACACCACUAAUCAGUACAACAUGAUAUUUGCACCAUUUACAGGGGUUAAUCAUCACUUACAAAGUGUCUUUUUUGGUGCUGCAUUCUUAUCAAAUGAGAAGGAUGAGUCAUACAUUUGGUUAUUUCAGACCUUCCUAAAAGCAAUGGGAGGGGUAGCACCUAGACUCAUCAUAACUGAUGAAGCUGCUAGCAUCAAGAAUGGUAUUGACAAAGUACUUCCAGCCACUAUGCAUAGGUUAUGCAUGUGGCAUAUAAUGGAAAAGGUGCCUGAAAAAGUUGGACCUUUGAUUAGAGAAGAUUCUGAAUUUUGGCCGAGGUUGAACUCAUGUGUUUGGGGUUCAGAAACUGCAAGUGAGUUUGAAUCACAAUGGAAUUCCAUCAUUACGGAUUUUGGGUUGGAGGAUAAUGAGUGGUUAGCUAAGAGGUUUACCAUUAGAGAUACAUGA